rnacentral:rRNA from 1 species
GGAAUAUUGGACAAUGGGCGAAAGCCUGAUCCAGCCAUGCCGCGUGUGUGAAGAAGGUCUUCGGAUUGUAAAGCACUUUAAGUUGGGAGGAAGGGCAGUUACCUAAUACGUGAUUGUUUUGACGUUACCGACAGAAUAAGCACCGGCUAACUCUGUGCCAGCAGCCGCGGUAAUACAGAGGGUGCAAGCGUUAAUCGGAAUUACUGGGCGUAAAGCGCGCGUAGGUGGUUUGUUAAGUUGGAUGUGAAAUCCCCGGGCUCAACCUGGGAACUGCAUUCAAAACUGACUGACUAGAGUAUGGUAGAGGGUGGUGGAAUUUCCUGUGUAGCGGUGAAAUGCGUAGAUAUAGGAAGGAACACCAGUGGCGAAGGCGACCACCUGGACUGAUACUGACACUGAGGUGCGAAAGCGUGGGGAGCAAACAGGAUUAGAUACCCGAG